rnacentral:rRNA from 1 species
CCUACGGGCGGCAGCAGUGAGGAAUAUUGGUCAAUGGACGAGAGCCUGAACCAGCCAAGUAGCGUGAAGGAUGACUGCCCUAUGGGUUGUAAACUUCUUUUAUACGGGAAUAAAGUGUUUCACGUGUGGGAUUUUGUAUGUACCCUAUGAAUAAGGAUCGGCUAACUCCGUGCCAGCAGCCGCGGUAAUACGGAGGAUCCGAGCGUUAUCCGGAUUUAUGGGGUUUAAAGGGAGCGUAGGUGGAUUGUUAAGUCAGUUGUGAAAGUUUGGGGCUCAACCGUAAAAUUGCAGUUGAAACUGGCAGGCUUGAGUACAGGAGAGGUAGGCGGAAUUCGUGGUGUAGCGGUGAAAUGCUUAGAUAUCACGAAGAACUCCGAUUGCGAAGGCAGCUCACUGGACUGCAACUGACACUGAGGCUCGAAAGUGUGGGUAUCAAACAGGAUUAGAUACCCCGGUAGUC